AGGUAUUGUGCCAGGUAUUGCGUCUGUUUUCAGAGCUGCUGAGUGUUUCUAACGAUUACCGGUUUGAUUUCCUGUGUUUGACUUUUGGCCUAUUUAUUCCGUUUCUGUCUCACUACCUGAUCAUUUGGACUUUGACAGUUACUAACCUCAGAAAUACAGGUGCUCGUAUCAGUCCACAGAAAGGUUCCUGUUUCAGAAACAAAGGCCAGGAUUCUGCAGUGGAACAGAGGAAAAAGCGGUUUGGUUAAACCAGCAUGACUCACCAACAGACAACAUGAAAGACAGACCAAAAGAAAAGAAAUGGGCUAAAAGCGAAAACAGUCUUUCAUAGUGUUUUUCAUGGUGUUGUAAGUGAAGUUCUUGAUAACAUUAUAAUGCAUUAUAACUUGAGCAAGGCUUAUUCAGUGCAGUGGUUAGGGUCAGUGUGUCUAAUUCUUACUAAUGGACAAUAAAAUAUAAAAAAAGAUGAUUUAGCACAGCUAUAAAGUGAAAAUAUUAGUGAAAUGUAGUGUAGUGUAAUAAUAGUGUUUUUCAUGAUAUGGUAAAUCAUGUUCUGCAGUGCAUUACAAAGGCUUAUUCAGAGUACAGUGAUUAUGAUCAGGGUGUCUAAUUCUCACUAUUGGACAAUAAAAAUGAAUAAAAGAUAACACAGUUAUAAGGAAGAAGUUUUUAUAAUGUAGUAUUAAUAAUGCAUUAUAACUGUGAGGCUUAUCCAGUACAGUAGUUAGAGUUGGGGCAUUUGGAGCAUAUGUCUCUAAAUUUACAGAGUUAAGACAAAUCAUAACAUUCUUUAUGGUGCUAUAACAUCGUUUGGUGACACUUAGCACUGUAGGGUGCUAUUCAUAAGGCUACAUGACACCUACAUAAGCUUGUCAUGACAAAUGACAUAACCCUACAUAAAUGUUUAUAAAAGCUUGUUCCAAAAGGUGUAAUUUGUUAUAAACGCUACU